rnacentral:rRNA from 1 species
UUGGAGGGCAAGUCUGGUGCCAGCAGCCGCGGUAAUUCCAGCUCCAAUAGCGUAUAUUAAAGUUGUUGCAGUUAAAAAGCUCGUAGUUGAAUUUCGGGAUUAGUACGUUGGUCGUGCCUUAGGUACGUACUGGUGUUACUGGUUUCUACCUUCUGACGAACCAUCAUGUCAUUAAUUUGGUGUGGCGGGGAAUCAGGACUGUUACUUUGAAAAAAUUAGAGUGUUUAAAGCAGGCUCGCGCUUGAAUACAUUAGCAUGGAAUAAUGAAAUAGGACGUUGACCCUAUUUUGUUGGUUUCUAGGAUUGACGUAAUGAUUAAUAGGGAUAGUUGGGGGCAUUAGUAUUCAAUUGUCAGAGGUGAAAUUCUUGGAUUUAUUGAAGACUAACUACUGCGAAAGCAUUUGCCAAGGAUGUUUUCAUUAAUCAAGAACGAAAGUUAGGGGAUCGAAGACGAUCAGAUACCGUCGUAGUCUUAACCAUAAACUAUGCCGACUAGGGAUCGGAUGAUGUUAUUUUUAAUGACUCAUUCGGCGCCUUACGGGAAAC